CCAGGAACCUCGGGGUGCUUACCAUAAAUAUGGAACAAUUGAACUGAAGUCUGAGUGGUUUGCUGACGUAUUUGAUGGUGGAAAAACUCUUCACAUUCCACAAUGAGGAUAAGUCAACAUAAAACAUUGAACAAAUGUCCCACCAGAAAGCACAGCACGGUGCAGUGAAGCCAGGAUCUGGAGCCAAAAGCCACAUCACUGCACCAGAGAACCAAGAGAGUAAUGAGCCUCCGUGGGUCCAGCCUGGGCUGUCCGGGGACAUCUUCAGGAUGUGGCCCCCACUUCUGGGCUCCCCCGCAGCGUCCUGGCAGCUGGAGGGGAUGUGGAAACUGAGCUUCUACCAUCACCACCAUCUGCAUCCCAUAGGAGAUGUGGUUCCCUCCAUUCCAAAGGUGUCUCUGUCUUGAUAUCUCUGUCUUGGGGCCACCCC
rnacentral:lncRNA from 1 species